UUGGAGGGCAAGUCUGGUGCCAGCAGCCGCGGUAAUUCCAGCUCCAAUAACGUAUAUUAAAGUUGUUGCAGUUAAAAAGCUCGUAGUUGAAUUUCGGGGUCAGUAGGUUGGUCAUGCCACUGGUAUGUACUGGUCUCACUGAUUCCUCCUUCCUGAUGAGCUGUAAUGCCAUUAAUUUGGUGUUGCGGGGAAUCUGGACUGUUACUUUGAAAAAAUUAGAGUGUUUAAAGCAGGCUAACGCCUGAAUACAUUAGCAUGGAAUAAUGAAAUAGGACGUUCGAUCCUAUUUUGUUGGUUUCUAGGAUUGACGUAAUGAUUAAUAGGGAUAGUUGGGGGCAUUAGUAUUCAAUUGUCAGAGGUGAAAUUCUUGGAUUUAUUGAAGACUAACUACUGCGAAAGCAUUUGCCAAGGAUGUUUUCAUUAAUCAAGAACGAAAGUUAGGGGAUCGAAGACGAUCAGAUACCGUCGUAGUCUUAACCAUAAACUAUGCCGACUAGGGAUCGGAUGAUGUUAAUUUUUUAAUGACUCAUUCGGCGCCUUACGGGAAAC
rnacentral:rRNA from 1 species